UUCAAGCCACCCCUUCCCCACCUUUCCUUCCAAAAUAAUGCUACCGUCUUCCCCUAACAAUAAAGGCCAACUCUACUCGAAAAAGAGAGACCCAUGGGAAUGACUCCCAUCCUGUCCAUCUUCCACUUCCUCUUCCUUUCCCUAUCCUUGUCUUCCUUAUUUGCCGCAGCGGCGAAUCAAUCAAAAGACGAGGAGACGCCGUUCGUCGGUGUCAACAUCGGCACCGACGUCUCCAACCUUUUUACGCCGGAGGAGCUGGUGGCCUUUUUGAAGUCCCAGCAGAUAACCCACAUCCGGCUCUACGACGCCGACCCAGCCCUCCUCGCCGCCCUCGCCGGCACCGGCAUCCGUGUCGUCCUCGGCAUCCCCAACAACCAGCUACUCGCCCUGGGUUCCUCCAACGCCACCGCCGUAGCCUGGGUCGCCCGCCACGUCCUCUCCUUCCUCCCCUCCACCCUCAUCUCCGCCAUCGCCGUCGGCGACGAGGUGCCCGCCUCCCUCCCGUCUGCCCUUCCCCUCCUCCUUCCCGCCCUCCGCUCCCUCUCCUCCGCCCUCUCCUCCUCCGCCGACCCUCCCAUCAAGCUCUCCACCCCUCUCCCUUUCUCCAUCAUCCUCGACCCCUUCCCCCCCUCCCAGGCAUUCUUCAACCAGACGCUGGCCUCCUCCUUCCUUCUCCCCCUCCUUGAAUUCCUCUCCGACACAGAUUCCCCUCUCAUGCUCAACCUCUACCCCUAUUACGCCUUGAUGCAGAGCCGCGGCGUGAUCCCCCUCGACAAUUCUCUCUUUAAACCCCUCCCACCGUCGCUCGAGGAGGUGGAUCCCAAUACCCUCCUCCACUACACCAACGUCUUCGACGCCAUGAUCGACGCCGCCUACUUCUCCAUGAAAAACCUCAACGUCACCGAUGUGCCUAUCCUCAUCACCGAGACCGGCUGGCCCUCCAACGGCUCCCGCAAGGACGAGCCCUUCGCCACCAAGGACAACGCCGACACCUACAACUCCAAUGUCAUCAAGCACAUCCUCGACCGCUCCGGAACGCCGCUCCACCCGGAGAUCACAUCGAGCGUCUACAUUUACGAGCUGUUCAAUGAGGAUUUGAGGCCGGGGCCGGUGUCGGAGGGGAACUGGGGGCUUUUCUACGGGAGCGGGACACCGGUAUACUUGCUUCAUUUGGUGGGGAGCGGCGAGUUCUUGGCGACGGACACGACGAACAGGACGUACUGCGUGGCGGCGGAGGGGGCGGACGGGAAGGCGCUGCAGGCGGCGCUGGACUGGGCGUGUGGGCCGGGGCUGGCGAAUUGCUCGGAGAUACAGCCCGGGGAGAGCUGCUACGAGCCAAACAAUGUUGGGAGCCACGCAUCAUAUGCAUUUGAUAGCUACUACCAGAAGGAGGGGAAGGUGCCCGGAUCCUGCUACUUCCAAGGGGUGGCCAUGGUCACCACCACCGACCCCGGUCAUCAUCAAAGACGAAGGCGUGAAGGUCGAGGGAGGAGGGGCGACAGCCUGUGGUGGAGAAAAAGAAAGAGGAGGGAGGCGGGGCGGUUGUGGGAGGGGGGGCAGCGGCCUGCGGCGGAGAAAGAAGAGGGAGGCGGGGCAUUUGUGUGAGAGGAGGGGGGCAACCUGCAGUGACGAAGAAGAAAGGAGUGGAGGGGGCGGCCUGCAGCGGAAAAAAAGAUCAGGGGGGUUUGCAGCAGAGAAGAAGAAAGGGCAGCCUCAGCCUGUGGCAGAGAAAAAGAGGGGUGGAGAAGAAGAAUGGGAAAAGGAAAAGGGGAAGCAAAAAGGCUUAGUAUAAUCCAUGCAACUCUAAAAAAAACAACAUACCCAACCUAGCCUAGAAAUAUCUAAUAAAGGAUUAUCAAUUGAUGAGGGGGAGGGAAGGCGGUGCAGUAGCAGGAUGGGAGGGUUGCGACAGAAAAAAAGGGAGAAGGCAACGCGGUUGCGGGAGGGGGGACACGAGCAUUAGGAGGAGGAGGAAGACUGCCGGGGAGGUGGGCGGGAGGUGGCAGAUGACAGCGAGAAGAAACGAAGGCGGAGGAUUAAAAAAUAAUAAAUAAUAAAUAAUAAUAAUAUAAUAUCAUAAAUGCUCUUCAUAAUAAAAAAAUAUUAAAAAAAUAUCAUAUCAAAAUUUUUAAAAUUAAUAUUAUAUUUUAAUCUUAAGAUUUAUUUCAAGCUUUCCACCUAAGUUUUUCAUCUGAUUGAACUCUUGUGAAUGGAAAAAAAAUCAACGAAAACAAAAAGAAAGAUGAAAAAAAAUAAAAGACAAAAUCUUUUCUUGAUUUCUUUUUUGGAUCUAUUGAUUGGAUUUAUUGAGUUCGUUUUAAGAGUAUAAUAAUAAAAAAAAUUAUAUUUUUUUUCUUUCUUCUUUACUUCCAAUCAAGAAGGGAAGAAAUAAUUUUUUUUUCUUUCUUUAAACUUCCAAUCAAGAGAAAAAAAAUAUAUUUUCUUUUUUUACUUUUCUUUUUUCUUCUUACAAUUUUUUUUUUCUUUUUCAAAAGCGUCAAUGUUGAAGACUCUCUAUGGAUCAUUUGCAACAGUAGUGACCAUUCAUGGCCAACCAGAGAAAUUAUAAGCACUUCAACAUGAGGGUUUUAUGUGCAACAUUAAAGAAUUAGAGGGUUUAUAUGCAACUUGAGAAGAUUUCAAUGACUAACAUGCUGAAAACGACUUUUUAAUCAGAAAGGUAUGCUGGGUUUGCAGCCAGAAGCUGUGUACAGUUCCCAAGUCAUAGACAUUAACAGUGAAAUCUUUGUUGCGAUGGCCACAUGCUCACGACUGAGAAGUUGUCGACUCAUAACUGCAAUAAACAUAACAGCAAAUUCUUCCUAGAGGAAUAAAAUACCAACCGGAACAUGUGAUGAUUGUUUCUUAGUUUUUUGUUGAGCUGAUACUAAACCAGAUUGUUUUUAGGUAUCUUGAUCAAUUAUUAUCCCAAUUUCCCCCUAGUACCCACCAGUUUGAAUCUAUUAUCUAUCCAUCUAGCAGCUUAAUUGCCCACACAACCCAAUUUUCAUAUAUUCUGAGAGUGGUCCUACUUGUUACAACCAAUUGCAAAUGGCACUGGCAUUGCAAUUUAAACAGUCUUUUACUUUGCAUAUAAGGUAUCAUUAUAUGAGUUGACCCAAUAGUUGCAUGCUCAGGGACUAAUAAUUUCUCACUCUAGCUUUUAGCUGUCAUUUUUGUUCAAACUUUUUAUAUUAUGUCAUCAUUAUCAUUACCAUUAACUAUUUUUCUGGUUGUGCUAGAACUUUGGUUGCUGAGAGACAAAAAAUUGUGGUUAUGUUUCAGGUCAUGGGGAUUGCAUCUUUCCUGGAAGCAAGCAGGAGAGUAACAUCACCAAUGCUGGAGCUAAUGCAACUCAGGCCAGUAAGGCUGAGGGAUGCACCAGAUUCAGACCAAGAAAAAGAUGGAAUCAAGGCCUCCACAUUCUUUACAUGGUCAUGAGCAUGAUGGUGGUGGUUACCUUCUCAACCUCCAACUUCUGGACAUGAUGGCAGGCAACAAAGAAGAAAUGGAAUCUGACAAAUUCGCCAGAAGAGUCCAAAAAUGUGUUCAUUCUUCUCAUAAGCUCAUGAUUUUAUGCACCUCGUCCUCGUUAUUCAUUUUUGCAAUACUGUUUACUCUUUUGAUUUAAUUUUUUUUUGUAUUUAUUUUUACCCAUCAUUUAUUAUUUGUGGGAAAAGAAUAGGAAGCCAGACAGGAAAUCACUCGGAAACUAGUUAGAAGUGUGUUUAUGUGCACGUGCUUCAUUGUUUCCUGCUAGUUGCCUCAUUUUGAGGAAGUGGAAUUGAAUAUGUUUCCAAUGACCAU